rnacentral:rRNA from 1 species
CCUACGGGAGGCUGCAGUGAGGAAUAUUGCGCAAUGGGCGAAAGCCUGACGCAGCGACGCCGCGUGAGGGAUGAAGGUCUUCGGAUCGUAAACCUCUGUCAGCAGGGAAGAACGGUCACUGUGCUAAUCAGCAGUGAAUUGACGGUACCUGCAAAGGAAGCACCGGCUAACUCCGUGCCAGCAGCCGCGGUAAUACGGAGGGUGCGAGCGUUAAUCGGAAUUACUGGGCGUAAAGCGCUCGUAGGCGGUAUGUCAAGUCAAGGGUGAAAUCCCCGCGCUCAACGUGGGAACUGCCUUUGAAACUGGCAAACUGGGGUGUGUGAGAGGAUAGUGAAUUCCAGGUGUAGGAGUGAAAUCCGUAGAUAUCUGGAGGAACAUCAGUGGCGAAGGCGACUAUCUGGCACAUAACUGACGCUGAGGAGCGAAAGCGUGGGUAGCAAACAGGAUUAGAUACCCCGGUAGUC